rnacentral:lncRNA from 1 species
AUCGAUUAAUGUUAUAAAUUUGAAUUAUGGUAAUACCACUUGUAAGAGGCUCAAUUUGCCCGGGCCCAAAAUCACAAAGAAAUAAAAACCAAAAAAAUAAUUAAAUGUCCAAAAAGUCCAAUUACAAAAACAAGCCCAGAUUCCAAAUCAGUUAAAUCUAACCUGAACGGCCCAAAUCCCUAACCCGUUUCCAGAAACUCGGCCCAGUUAUAUUGAAGCCCAAAACAAAAAACACAAGCAGAAACCCUAGGGCAUCUGCAAACUCCAGCCGCCGCAUGUGGCAACCAGUUUCGUCUGCUCGUGUGUGCUAGCAGCCACUGUCCCUCCGCACGCACCAGGCGCGUCCUCCCUCCAGGCUGGCUGAGCACCGUACACCUACAACACAAACGAAAAAACGAACGCAACGCACACAGCAACAGACAACAAAAGCAAAAUCAGAGAAAGAGGGGUAAAGAAGAAAAAUGUAAAAAGGGAUUCGUGGGGGGAUUUUCUAUUUUUUUUUUGGCAAUAUAAAGCCAUGUCAAAAAAUCUAUAAAAGGGAGAGGCAUAUUGUAUCAAAAAAACACAGAAUAUCAAUAAGAACGAAAAAAUUGAAAGAAAAAGGUGAUUUUUAGAUUUUAUUUUGAAAUUUUUCUAUCGAUUCUUGGUUUUUUUCUUUCAAUCUUUGAUUUAUUUUUCUUUUGAUUUACUAUUUAAGAGAGAAAGCUGAAGGAAAGUGAUUUUACCUGAUUGGAAUCGUCGUUUGCUCCGUUGUGAUCGGAGUCGAACGGCGGUUCAAGGGAUCGGAGAACUCCCUUUUCUAAGCGGCGCGACUUUGGAAUGGGAGGGGGGAGAAAGGUUUA